UCUUCUCAAAACAUUUAGCCAUCACAAAUCACCAUCCUUCAAAUUCUGGAUUUAGGUUCUAUUCGAUUGGGGUUCGAUUUGGGUUCUACUCGAUUAGGGUUCGAUUAAGGGGUUUUUCAUUCUGCUAAUGGGGGAUUUGGGUUCUGACCAAUCGAGUUGGGUUCUCCCCCGAAACCUAUCCCUCUACUCCCUCCCCUCCCGCUCGCGCGCUCUCUCUAGGAGGUGCAGAGAUUUCUUUGUGGCUCAUCUCGGAGGUGCAUCCUGGCGUUGACUCGUCGGAGGAAGGCGAAGAAGAUGGUGGCUACGGUGAGUCCACCCCGGUGGUCAGAGAUCGGUGACGGAGGAGAGAGAUUCCUCCAGAUCCACUUUUUCUCUCCUCCCACUCUCUCUCGUCUGUGCUUCUCUCUUCAACUAGUCCCUCAACCUUUAAUUCUGAUCAAAAUCAAAUCUUUACAACUGAGCUGUGACGAGAGAGGAAGAGGAGAGAGAUGGCGGAAGAGAAGCCUGAAGUGCUUGACGCGGUGCUGAAGGAAACAGUUGAUUUGGAAAACAUACCCAUUGAGGAGGUGCUUGAGAAUCUGAGAUGUAGCAAAGAGGGUCUCAGCAGUGAGGCUGCUGAGGAAAGAUUAGCCAUUUUUGGGCAUAACAAGCUUGAGGAAAAGCAGG